GCAUAUCAAUAAGCGGAGGAAAAGAAACCAACAGGGAUUGCCCCCAGUAACGGCGAAGUGAAGCGGCAACAGCUCAAAUUUGAAAUCUGGCCCCCAGGGCCCGAGUUGUAAUUUGUAGAGGAUGCUUUUGGCGCGGUGCCUUCCGAGUUCCCUGGAACGGGACGCCAUAGAGGGUGAGAGCCCCGUCUGGUUGGACACCUAGCCUCUGUAAAGCUCCUUCGACGAGUCGAGUAGUUUGGGAAUGCUGCUCUAAAUGGGAGGUAUAUGUCUUCUAAAGCUAAAUACCGGCCAGAGACCGAUAGCGCACAAGUAGAGUGAUCGAAAGAUGAAAAGCACUUUGAAAAGAGGGUUAAAUAGUACGUGAAAUUGUUGAAAGGGAAGCGUUUGUGACCAGACUUGGGCCCGGUUGAUCAUCCACCGUUCUCGGUGGUGCACUCUGCCGGCCCAGGCCAGCAUCAGUUCGCGCCGGGGGAUAAAGGCUUCGGGAAUGUGGCUCCUCCGGGAGUGUUAUAGCCCGUUGUGUAAUACCCUGGUGCGGACUGAGGUUCGCGCUCCGCAAGGAUGCUGGCGUAAUGGUCAUCAGCGACCCGUCUUGAAACACGGACCAAGGAGUCGUCUUCGUAUGCGAGUGUUCGGGUGUCAAACCCCUACGCGUAAUGAAAGUGAACGCAGGUGAGAGCUUCGGCGCAUCAUCGACCGAUCCUGAUGUUCUCGGAUGGAUUUGAGUAAGAGCAUACGGGGCCGGACCCGAAAGAAGGUGAACUAUGCCUGUAUAGGGUGAAGCCAGAGGAAACUCUGGUGGAGGCUCGCAGCGGUUCUGACGUGCAAAUCGAUCGUCAAAUAUGGGCAUGGGGGGCGAAAGACUAAUCGAACCUUCUAGUAGCUGGUUUCGCGAG
rnacentral:rRNA from 2 species